rnacentral:rRNA from 1 species
UACGAAGGGGGCUAGCGUUGUUCGGAAUUACUGGGCGUAAAGCGCGCGCAGGCGGUUCUUCAAGUCAGAGGUGAAAGCCCAGAGCUCAACUCUGGAAUGGCCUUUGAGACUAGAGAACUUGGGUACGGGAGAGGUGAGUGGAAUUCCGAGUGUAGAGGUGAAAUGCGCAGAUAUCGGGAGGAACACCAAUGGCGAAGGCAGCUCGCUGGGACGUAACUGACGCUGAGACGCGAAAGCGUGGGGAGCAAACAGG